GUCUCAUCUGGAUUGAGUUUAAGUGUUGAUUUAAGCACUAUGGCCUUUCGCUAUUAUUCACGUGUUCAAGCCGGGGAGGAUGAAAGCAGAUCUCUCAUACAUGACGAAUUGUGUGUGGCCUACAUAAAAGGUUGAGUGGAGGAUCCUAGUGCUGCCCUCACUAAAGUGUCCCGGUAAGACAACUGUGUUAUUAGAAAGCUAUGGGCACUAAAACUUCCCCAUUUGAAAAAAUGCCAAAUGAAAAGUGGAAGCAAAAGCAAUGGAGGAUGAAAAAGACACUAUAGAAUCGUGAAGCAACACAAGAAGACCAGCAACCUUAAGCGUUCACGGACAUAGCAAGAUGGUCGACGUAACGCUUGUUGAACCUGGCUUGGGUGAAUGGAAGGGUCGGUGCGUCAGCGUUUGUGUGUGUGGUGGUUCAGCUUGGCUUCUCGUUGAGGUUAACCUUAUGCAAAGGGAAAUGAAAAUCAUCAUACAUGAUUAUAAACCAGAUUAGAGUAAAGUAAGGAUUGUAAAGCUUACUGCUUCAUUAGCAGAAAGAAGCUCUUAAGUUGCUUUACUACUUGACUCCUCCCCUGCAGGACGCUCUUGAUUGCAGGGGACGAACAGCCCACGUUCCGUAAUGCCUGUCUGUAUGUUCAAUUGUUUUAUGCAUGGAGAAAUUCGAAGAAAUGAUAAAGUGAAGGGAUAUUCUAUUGUUCACGCGCCAUUCCCACCAUUGC